UAAGGAACAAGCUAAGGUACUCACGUGCGAACAGUUGAACCAUUCUCCAAUCAAGAAGAAGAUAUUCCUUCAAGUCCAGAUCGCACGAGGCAUCUGUUACCAGCAAAUACCCAGAUCGCAAAAGCAUCUGUUACCAGG